UACACUUUAGGUAUGAAUCUGAGACGAAAAAAACUUGAUAUACUAAAUGUUGAAAACCACAAAACAUGAGGGUAGUAAACAGUCUUUUACCCUACUUUUUUUUAUAAGGCAAAAGGACAUUGCUCAACUUGUUUUUUUUUUUUUUUUUUUUUUUUUGCGCCAAAACGAUGUCGUUUGGCUUGAGUAUUUAAAAACAAGAAGGGGCUACGCGUAGCGCGGGUUGCGCAGCAGCAGCGAAUCAAGAGGCGG
rnacentral:lncRNA from 1 species